AGUGAACGCUGGCGGUAGGCCUAGCACAUGCAAGUCGAACGGCAGCACAGUAAGGGCUUGCUCUUACGGGUGGCGAGUGGCGGGCGGGUGAGGAAUACAUCGGAAUCUACUUUUUCGUGGGGGAUAACGUAGGGAAACUUACGCUAAUACCGCAUACGACCUACGGGUGAAAGCAGGGGAUCUUCGGACCUUGCGCGAUUGAAUGAGCCGAUGUCGGAUUAGCUAGUUGGCGGGGUAAAGGCCCACCAAGGCGACGAUCCGUAGCUGGUCUGAGAGGAUGAUCAGCCACACUGGAACUGAGACACGGUCCAGACUCCUACGGGAGGCAGCAGUGGGGAAUAUUGGACAAAGGGCGCAAGCCUGAUCCAGCCAUACCGCGUGGGUGAAGAAGGCCUUCGGGUUGUAAAGCCCUUUUGUUGGGAAAGAAAAGCAGCAGGUUAAUACCCCGCUGUUCUGACGGUACCCAAAGAAUAAGCACCGGCUAACUUCGUG
rnacentral:rRNA from 1 species